rnacentral:rRNA from 1 species
ACGGGAGGGCCAGUAGGGAAUCUUCCACAAUGGACGAAAGUCUGAUGGAGCAACGCCGCGUGAGUGAAGAAGGGUUUCGGCUCGUAAAACUCUGUUGUUAAAGAAGAACAUAUCUGAGAGUAACUGUUCAGGUAUUGGCGGUAUUUAACCAGAAAGCCACGGCUAACUACGCGCCAGCAGCCGCGGUAAUACGUAGGUGGCAAGCGUUGUCCGGAUUUAUUGGGCGUAAAGCGGGCGCAGGCGGUUUUUUAAUUUUGAUGUGAAAGCCUUCGGCUCAACCGAGGAAGGGCAUCGGAAACGGGGAAACUGGAGUGCAGAGGAGGACAGUGGAACUCCAUGGGUAGCGGUGAAAUGGGUAGAAAUAGGGAAGAACCCCAGUGGGGAAGGGGGCUGUCUGGUCGGUAACGGGCGGUGAGGCUCGGAAGGGUAGGGGAAGCAAACAGGGAUUAGAUACCCUGGUAGUCCAUACCGUAAAGGAAGAAUGUUAAGGGUUGGAGGGUUUCCCCCCUUCCAGUGCGCCAGACUAAACGCAUACCCUCCGGCUGGGGAG